rnacentral:rRNA from 1 species
AGAAUCAACGCUGGCGGCGUGCCUAACACAUGCAAGUCGCACGAGAAAGUGGAGCAAUCCAUGAGUACAGUGGCGCACGGGUGAGUAACACGUGAAUAAUCUACCUCCGAGUGGGGAAUAACCUAGAGAAAUUUGGGCUAAUACCGCAUAACACUUACGAGUCAAAGCAGCAAUGCGCUUGGAGAGGAGUUCGCGGCCGAUUAGCUAGUUGGCGGGGUAAUGGCCCACCAAGGCGAUGAUCGGUAUCCGGCCUGAGAGGGCGCACGGACACACUGGAACUGAAACACGGUCCAGACUCCUACGGGAGGCAGCAGUGGGGAAUUUUGCGCAAUGGGGGAAACCCUGACGCAGCAACGCCGCGUGGAGGAUGAAAUCCCUUGGGAUGUAAACUCCUUUCGAUAGGGAAGAUAAUGACGGUACCUAUAGAAGAAGCCCCGGCUAACUUCGCGCCAGCAGCCGC